GUGACAAAUCAUUGUCCAAUGUCCAAUCAAAUCCAGGUUUUUCUGUAAAAAGCCUCCAUCACUCAAAAAAAGGGAUGGGCGAUACUUUCUUCUCAACCGGUUUGUUCAAAUUGGCACAUGAAAAGGCAACGUUGUUGUCAAGUACUCCUCACCUGGUUUUUCUUUUCAUAUCGUGUUUCUGAACUAAAAAGAGGCCAAUUAUAUCAGGCAGUAAUAAAGACAAUUCAUUUCAUAAUUCGAUUUCUCACCAUGUUCUUGAUAACUAAAAUUCGCCACCUCUACAAAAGCCAUUUCAGAAACGGAACCAUUGUUCUAUUAAACUUACGACCCAAACGUCAUCGACGGAUGAAUGCCAAACAGCGGUUCAUUUCUAGUUCGAUUGUGCUUUCAAGAUCCUGUUUUUCCUUCCCCACCAGUUUUUACCUCUUCGCUAAAAAGGUGCUUCAAUUCCGAUGGCAGGAAAACGAACUAUACCAUCCAUCCAGUCGCCACUUACUCAAUCAAAUAUGACAACAAAGAUGUUCAUCGUGCAUGACAAAAUUUGUUACCCACCCGUGGCAACGAGGUGACUUUUUCCCUGGGCUCCUUCUCUUUGUGCCGCCUCAUUGAUUGCCAUGGUUGUCUCUCUACACACUCGCUCUGUGCAACCAUGUGAUUCGUGGAGUGACUGCCAAACCCUACCCGAUGAUACAGCCAGAGGAAGACGGUUUGGUUGACUUUGUCAGACUAGAUCGCGCUGCGGUUCGUAAUUGCUCGCCAAUUUCCCUCUUCCUCCUCCUCGAUUGCUAGUACUGGUCUUGGCUGUCUGAUUUCCACGUUCGAAUCCAGGCUAAGCCAGGCUGGAUGGUUGCAUGACCACCACGGCGUGUUUUUGUCAGUCGAGAGGAAUUACGUUUUUCUCUGAGAAAUUGCUGUCGAAUUGGAUGGAAGAGAAGGAUGAUGAUCUUUAGUUCUCAAGUUGAGGCCAACCAAUCCACCGACUCUUCCGGUGGAUUGGUUGGGUUUAUGGAACGAGAUCCAUGGACGUUUUUGUAAAUAUGUGACUGAAAUCCCGAUGGCACUCCGGAUUGGUGUCCGGAUUGGUCCGGAUUGGAAUGGUGCGGAUCCAGUCAAAAUGAAUCCUUGAUUGAGCGAGUGAAGAAGACGCUUGACCGUUGAAGAGUGGGUGAAGACCAAAAUGGUACAUAUGUACCAUUCAUUUAUAGAUUAAGGAAAAAAAAAUUGCCGAUUGAAUUUUUCUUGACCACAAACCUUGUUUCACCAUUCUAACAGACCCUUAUAAAUAUGUAAUAUAAAUCGUAUCGUUCCCUUGGUAUAAAGAUCCAAUUAAAAAGA